AUGGAGGGCAAGCAGUUAAUAGGAGUAUGGCCAGCUGAGGUUGGCUAUGAAAUGGUAACCAACCAUUUCCGCAGAUACACUUACAUGGAGUUGCAGACAGCAACUCAAAAGUUCAAGGAUCAGAUUGGAUGUGGAGCAUCUGGUCUUGUAUACAAGGGGGUCUUAAAAGACAAGAGGGCUAUAGCGGUGAAAAGGUUGGCAGAUAUAAACCAAGGGGAAGAAGAAUUCCAACAUGAACUGAGUGUGAUUGGAAGGAUUUACCAUAUGAACUUGGUAAGGGUUUGGGGAUUUUGUUCUGAUGGUCCACACAGAAUAUUAGUUUUAGAGUAUGUUGAGAAUGGUUCUUUGGAUAAAACCCUGGUUAGUAGUGAAAGGUUACUUGGGUGGAGUGAAAGGUUUAAGAUUGCUCUAGGGGUGGCAAGAGGAUUGGCCUAUCUUCACCACGAGUGCAUGGAGUGGGUUAUCCACUGUGACAUCAAGCCCGAGAAUAUAUUGUUGGAUGAGAACUUGGAGCCAAAGACCAGCGACUUUGGCCUUGCAAAACUCGUGAACACAAGUGGAUCCAAGAAAAAAUUAUCAAGGAUUCAUGGAACUAGAGGUUAUAUAGCUCCCGAGUGGGUUUCUAGCCAGCCAGUUACAACAAAGGUUGAUGUCUAUAGCUUCGGAGUGGUUCUCCUAGAACUACUCAUGGGGGCUCGUGUUUCAGACUGGGCGUCAAAUGCCGGCGAGGAAGUUGAAAUGGUCCUUGGAAGGGUUGUUAGGAUGUUAUAG
rnacentral:rRNA from 1 species